CACCAGGAGAACCUAUUGAUAUCUUCAGUUCGAAUGCAGAGAGAUUCAUGGGAGUUGCUAUGCUAGGACAUGAGAGACCGAACAGGAAGGCAGCUCUCUUCCCAGUAUCAAGAUAAGUUCUUUUUUUCAGGAUUGUCUGAGACACACAUCAGUUAAUGUCUUAGAUUUAAAGCCCAUGUUCCUGUUAUGUUGGUGCAGAUUCCGACUUUUGUCUAGGAUCCUUUGUGAAAUGAAGUUAUGGCAGCUAUCAGCUUGUUUUGGAGAAUCAGACAUCAAUGCUAUUUUAGAUUGUUAUGUUCGAUCAUAUAUGUUAUUUAGUUCAGAAUUAUGCACACAAUGUCUUUUCAAUUGAAGUGUCUCUUGUGAGGUAGUAAAAGGAUCCCUUAUUUACGGUUAGAGAAAAGCAUAUCUUAAUUGAUAGUGUCAAGUGUAUUUAGCUGGAUCAUGUCAUUCACCGUUGUGUGUGACCGUCAGUACAUAUUGUUCUUUUAGUCGUCUUCAGAACUCUAUUUUAUAUUAAUGCAUCUCAAUUAAACAUGUGUGCCAUUUCUUUGACAAGGGCUUGUCCAGAAGGCUGGGUUUUUAUGCCAUAACCUGUCGGAUCAAAGAUGGAGCUUUAGCUUCUUAGAUAUAAAUAUUAUGUGGCUGAAUAGAAGAUGACCUCAAUUAUUUGAAUUAGAACUGCAAUAACAAAUUAUUGGCCUUGAUGGAAUUCCUUGAUCUUAUCAGAGCGAAAAGGUGAGCUCUAUUCUUUGGCAAGCAAUGAGUUAGUCCCCUAAGCAUUUAAGUGAAAGUAAAUGUACUGCAGAUUUAGUCCGGUGGAAUUUACAUCCCUGAGAUUAUAUGUGCUAUAAAAUAUACGAUAAUGUUUUGGAAUACCAAAAUUUCUCUAUCUGUACUUGUGGUGAACCAAAUUCGUAUAUGAAUCAAGUAUGCAGAUGCCGUCUCUUUGAUGUAUGGGCUUAGUUAUAAGAAACUUGAUUAAGGUCAUGCGUAAUUAAUUAAAUGCCAUCUGUAUGUACUAAAACAAAAUCUAUAAUUAGCCAGUUAGACAUCUAGCUUUUUAGUUGUGUGGGCUACCUCUGUUUUAGCCAGUUAGACAUCUAGCUUUCUUGCUCCGUGGUUUUACCCUUUGCUAGCCAUAUCCUCGCGGGCCGCUGAUUACCUUUAUUUUCAUGUCAAGAUCCCUCUUGCUCAGCUCAUCAUUACAAGGAACUACAUGGCUUUGUGAAAUGUUAACGGUUAAUGAUUUUGCUUGAUUCUUCUUGCCAGAUGAACCCAAAGAUAGUUCAGUUGUUUAGUAGUUUUUGACACACCAUGUAUUAUCACCCCUGCUCUAAUAAAUUGACCUAUGUUGCUUGCUUAUAAUAGAUUUUCAUAGAUGAUCAAUAUAGUGUACUACAAAACUGUGUAUUGGUGAGAAAGAUGGGCCGUGCGCCAAGGACCAUGUAUUUCUUUUGUGAUUGAAUGUAUAUAUAUGAAGUAGGUUCAUGCUACAACAAUCCCUGUGUGCUACUUAUGUGCUGUUGCUUUUGCCAUUCCUUCCGGAUCGGUUGUUUAUAUAAUUCCUAGCAAAGGCCUCACUCUUCUUAGAAUUUUCUCAUUCCUAUGGACCAUUAGUUCAUGGUUGUGGUUUAGUUACCUAUCAAAAUGCUAUCUAAUAGGUAGCUAUGAACUUAUUGCAUUUUGUACUAAUGAGAAACAGAUUGUGAAUUC